rnacentral:rRNA from 1 species
CCUACGGGGGGCAGCAGUGGGGAAUAUUGGACAAUGGGGGGAACCCUGAUCCAGCCAUGCCGCGUGUGUGAAGAAGGCCCUCGGGUUGUAAAGCACUUUCAGUGAGGAAGAACGCCUGGUGGUUAAUACCCAUCAGGAAAGACAUCACUCACAGAAGAAGCACCGGCUAACUCCGUGCCAGCAGCCGCGGUAAUACGGAGGGUGCGAGCGUUAAUCGGAAUUACUGGGCGUAAAGCGCGCGUAGGUGGCUUGAUAAGCCGGUUGUGAAAGCCCCGGGCUCAACCUGGGAACGGCAUCCGGAACUGUCAAGCUAGAGUGCAGGAGAGGAAGGUAGAAUUCCCGGUGUAGCGGUGAAAUGCGUAGAGAUCGGGAGGAAUACCAGUGGUGAAGGCGGCCUUCUGGACUGACACUGACACUGAGGUGCGAAAGCGUGGGUAGCAAACAGGAUUAGAUACCCUGGUAGUC